GGCGACUGUUCCUGGUGCAAGCUGGAACAAUCACGUGGCUUUCUGGAAGGGCAAAACAAACGAGAUCAGCUGAAGAAAGACUGCGCAUCGCACUCUUGGGCAAAAAGGAGCCCGAGACCGGAAGGGUCUGCGUCCACCGAUCAGCAGAAGAUUGAAUGCCUGUUCCCUUCCUCCCGACCUGACUGGACCCCAAUACGGAUGGAGGAUCUGUUGAAAAUCCCCUUCUAUGUUUGGAGCUACUGAGACUCUGGCGCCGCGCUACUCCAAGCCAUUAGGCCUACAGAACCAGUGGCCCUCCUCUGCCUGCUCAGAACUCCGCAGUUCCAGACAAGCUGGGCCUCAGGGACACUGCGUGCCCACCUGCCCCUUGGAAGCUCCACAGUUCUUCAAUCGCAGCCGGGUUAGGGUAUUCACCACAGGCCGCAGUGCUUCAAGAACCUGUGGACCCUCCCUGGUUGCAGAGAUAUCCACAGUCCUCCAGACACAUGGAGAGGCCAAUGCAGGCACCCCAAAUCUGCCCAUCUCCUCCUCUGCAGACCAAUGGCCAGGCGCGGCAGCUAAACAGGCUGGGCUAGGCUGGUAGUGUGGGCCAGCCCACCUAUCGGGAGCUCAGCAGGUCUCCAAAUGAAGCCGGAAUGGGGAGGCUGAUGUGGAAGCCUCAAACCCACCUCUCCCCUUCACUGCACCUGGAAGCCUGAGGGAACUCCAGCAGUCUGGGCGCAGAUAUCCAGAGUCCUCCAGACACGCAGAGAGGCCGGUGAGGGCACCCCAGAUCUGCCCAGCUCCUCCUCUGCAGACCUAUGGCCAGGUGCGGCAGCUAAACAGGCUGGGCUAGGCUGGUAGUGUGGGCCAGCCCACCUAUCGGGAGCUCAGCAGGUCUCCAAAUGAAGCUGGGAAUGGGGAGGCUGAUGUGGAAGCCUCAAACCCACCUCUCUCCUUCACUGCACCUGGAAGCCUGAGGGAACUCCAGCAGUCUGGGCGCAGAAAUCCAGAGUCCUCCAGACACGCAGAGAGGCCAGUGAGGGCACCCCAGAUCUCAGAACUAGAAUUCUUAAAGAAAUGAAGACAAGAAAUCCCAGAGGUCUGGGCUGAAAGUAACCCCCCAGGACUGGCAGUCAACCAAGUGCCCCUUGUAGUAGAGCUCCUACACCCAGGUGGCUCCUAUUUGUUUGCAUCAAUAUCUAAUAAGUCUCCAAGCCCGAAAGGGAAUUGAAGUUCAUGUACAGAGACUAAGAGACAAUGGUAUCCUCAUUCCUUGUGUCUCCCUUGGAACACACCUCUGCUUCCAGUCCAGAAACCAGGGACAACUGACUAUUGCCCUGUGCAAGACCUCCAGGAGGUCAACAGGUGGGUAGUAACUUUAUAUCCAACUGUGCCUAAUCCCUACACUUUACUCAGCCUCCUCAACCCAGAGCACACCUGGUACUCCAUAUUGGACCUCAAGGAUGCCUUCCUCACUCCACCUCUUGCACCCUGGUGAGUCAACCCAUUUUUGCCUUUGAAUUGACUGACCCAGAUUCUGGGGUCAUGGAACAACUGACCUGGACUCGGUUGCCACAGGGUUUUACAAACUUGCCCACUCUUUUUGAUGAGGCCCUGGCCAGAGAUCUCUUGGGGUUUUGAGAGGAACACCCUGAGGUGACUCUUUUACAAUAUGUAGAUGAUCUGCUGAUAGCCUCCCCCACUUUGGAGUCCUGUCAAGAGGCCACAGGGGAGCUACUAAGAACCUUGGGAAAAUUAGGCUACAAGGUUUCAGCCAAAAAGGCCCAAUUGUAUCAACAAACCAUGACUUAUUUGGGCUAUGAGUUACAGGGAGGAAAGAGAACUCUAUCUAAGGAAAGGAUCCAGGCUAUAUUACAGAUUCCUAUCCCAGAAACUAAAAAACAUGUAUGAGAGUUUCUGGGGGCUGUAGAAUACUGUAAGCUGUGGAUUCUAAAUUUUACUGAGAUAGCGCACCCCCUGUAUGACUCCCUUAAGGGAAAAACUCAGAAAUCUUUGGACUGGACAGGUGAAUGUGAACAGGCCUUCCAGCAACUCAAAUGAGCCCUAACAGAGGCCCCAGCCCUGGGACUCCCUGAUGUUACCAAGCCAUUCACCUUGUUCAUAGAUGAACUCAGGAGCAUUGCCAAAGGAGUCCUAACCCAGGACACUGGCCCCUGGAGGAGAACAGUAGCCCACCUCUCUAAAAGACUUGGUCCAGAGGCAGGGGGUUGGUCUCCCUGCCUAAGAAUACUAGCUGCUGUGGCAAUGUUACUUAAGGAGGCUAAGAAACUCACUUUUGGACAAAAGAUUUCUGUGGUGACCUCCCACAGUUUAGAAACUCUUAUCAAGAACCCUCCUGAGAAGUGGCUCUUGAACGCUAGAAUUCUGCAUUAUCAGGCUCUACACCUAGACCCAGAAUCGAUGGUUUUUAAGACUUCCUCAGUCUUAAACCCAGCCACCCUUAUGCCUGAUGAUGAUCCUGGAACUCAAAAUCUGCCUCUUCAUGAGUGUGCAGACCUCCUUGGGAUGCAGCAGAAUCUACAGGCUGAUCUUACUGACCAGCCCUUGGAGAAUGCUGAUAACUACUUCACCGAUGGGAGCAGUUUCAUCCAGGACGGCAAAUGAGUGGCUGGAGCAGCAGUGACCACCGAAAAAGAGGUACUCUCAGUUAAGCGAUUAGAGCCCUUCAGCCCAAAAGGUUGAGCUCACUGCUUUGACUGAAGCAUUAAAGUUAGCCACUGGGAAGAGGGUAAAUAUCUAUACCAACAGUAGAUAUGCUUUUGCUACUGUACAUGUACAUGGAGUCAUCUAUCAAGAGUGAGGUCUCUUAACUUCAGCUGGGACUAAGAUAAAAAAUGCUCCACAGAUUCCAGACUUAUUGGCAGCUGUCUGGCUAUCUCAGCGGGUUGCUAUUAUUCAUUGCAAGGCUCAUCAGACAGGAGAAGACCCCACAUCUAAGGAAUUAAGCAGACCAAACCACUCGAAAAAUAGCAACCACAUCAGAGGGGCCUACCAAGGAAGUAGCUGCCCUAAUGUUGGUCCCUCCUACCUUAUCAGAAUCAGUUUAUAUGAAGAAAGACUCACAAUUAGCAUCUCAGCUUGGAGCAAAGCUCCUCACUCCAGUGGGUUGGUACCAAUUACCAGAUAAGUGAACGCUGUUGCCAGAGGCACUAGGAUGUGAGGUGCUACACCAGGCUGACCAAACCACCCAUUUAGGGGGAACCAAACUUGCUUAAUUGUUCAGAACUUGGUUUUUCAUUCCAAGACUCUCCAAAUUGACUGCAUCUUUGAGCUCCAGAUGCCCACAGUGUCUGUUGGUAAACCUGACCAGGAGUUCACCAGUGGAAACUACCUGGCAUUGAGGAAUGGCCCCAGGAGAACACUGGGAAGUAGACUUUUGACAUGGUAAAGCCUGGUUUACAAGGACAUCGCUAUCUCUCAGUAUUAAUAGGUACUUUUAUUGGCUGGGUAGAAGCUUUUCCUACUAAGUCUGAGUCAACCUUAGUGGUAACUAGAAAACUAUUGCAAGAGAUCAUACCUCAAUUUGGCCUUCCACUGUCCAUGGGGUCCAAUAAUGGCCCAGAUUUCAUAGCCCAACUCACCCAAAAGUUAGCCCAGGCAUUAAGAAUUGAUUGGAAACUUCUCUGUGCUGAUCAACCACAAAGUUCAGGACAAGUAGAAUGUAUGAAUUGAACUCUCAAGGAUACUUUAGCUAAGCUGUCUUUAGAAACUGGCAAUAAUUGGAUGAGCCUUCUUCCCUUUGCUCUGCUGAGAGCUAGAUGUACUCCUUAUGUUUCUGGAAUUUUUCCAUUUGAAGCUAUCUUUGGAAGACUCCUUCCACUGGUUCCAAAGCUCUCUGAGGACAAAUUAGUUGAAAUAACUAACCAAGAUCUCAUUAAGUCCCUCCAGACACUCCAGCCUGUGUUGGCUUCCAUCCACCAGUAGACAAAAACACCCAGACCCGCCUAUGGAGACACCACUAAAGAAUUCCAUCAAACCGGGUACUUCAGUCCUGGUGUGAUGCCAUCAUCAAGACUCCCUCGAACCCCGCUGGGAAGGACCUUUCACCAUGGUGCUCAGUACCUCCACUGCAGUCAAGGUAGCCGGAAAGACUCUGUGGAUUCACCAUACCCACAUAAAGCCACUGGAAACGGCGGACGACGAGCACCAUACCCAAUGGACUGUGUAGCAGACUGGUAAUCCCUUAAAAUUAAAAUUGACUAGACUUAGAUUGCAUCGGGCAUGUACUGCUUUAGCUUGCUUGCCUUUGCCCCUUCUAUUCCACUACUGGAGAUUUUCAUAGCACUGUUACCAACCUCACAUGGCGGGUUCGGACCUCCUGUAAGCUGAGUCAGCUGUUAAAAUCUUUGUAUGGAAGUCCUUGUGAUUGUGGAGGAGGCCAAUUUUGUGGUAGUAAUGGGGAACAAAUUGUUUAGACCAGUCACACAGAUUGUGGAAACAAAAUAGCCAUUCUUGUUACUAGGCCUGCCACUACAGGAGUAACUCAAAUGUGGGAAUGCAAAGAAAAAGCUUGCGUGAUACCUAAAAUAGGUGGCCAACUGGGGCCAUGCCCUAAGGAUUGUCCUUAUUAUUCACAAAUGCAUUCCUCCUGCUAUGACUCAGUGCAGGAAUGCACAGGAAAAGACAGACUUAUUUCACUGCUGAGCUUCUGAGGACAUGUAUUGGAAGGGAUGAGGGCGACUGGUCCAUCACUCCAACAGUAAUAGGAAAUUCAAAGUAUACCCAACCCUCAUGUAAUGGCACAAUUGGUAAACCAGUGUGCUGAAGUAAGGGGGCCCCAAUACAUGUCUCUGAUGGAGGUGGUCCACAGGAUAAGACCAGAGAACUCAUGGCUGAAAAAUGGUUAAACAGAUUACAGAGAUAACAUUUCCCUAGGUGCAUUACCACCCCUUGAUGCUGCCUAAAUCACAGGGAAUUGAUUUGGGUGCUCAGACUUCUGAUAUUCUAGGAGCCACUUAUAGUGCCUUGAAUGUUUCCAACCCAACUUUAGCUAAAGAUUGUUGGGUAUGCAUGGCACAAGGCUCUCCCAUGCCUCUUGCAAUCCCCUCCAAUGCCCCCUGACCACACCAGAAGAACCAGAUCACUUAAAUUGUAGUGCUGGUCUCCCCUUUAGAGUGCAACCAGUAGGAUUUAAAGACUCUCCCUGUCUCCAAGGAAGUUUUCAUAGUGAUACUUCUGUCAUUGAUGUGAGGUUUGUUGCUUUUGCUAACUGUAGUUCUAUAAUUAACCGGACUACCUCUCUUUGUCCUGCCAAAGGACAAGUGUUCAUCUGUGGAGGCAAUCUGGCCCAUACUUUCCUCCCAACCAACUGGUCAGGAAUAUGUGUUACAGCUGUCCUGUUGCCUGACAUAGAGGUUUUACCUGGGGACGAGCCUGUCCCCAUUCUGAGCCUGGAUUACAUUACAGGCUGCACAACGUGGGCAGUUCAAUUUAUCCCUUUAUUGGUGGGUCUGGGAAUAUCAGGAGCCCUGGGUAUUGGGGCAGCAGGAGUGGGGGGUCUCUGUUCAACUUUCCAACCAGGUCAUCAAUGAUGUGCAGGCAUUAUCUAGUACCGUUCAGGACAUUCAAGAUCAAGUAGAUUCAUUAGCUGAAGUAGUUCUUCAAAAUAGAAGAGGGCUAGACCUCCUGAGGGCAGAACACGGAGGGAUCUGUGCAGCAUUGCAAGAACGAUGCUGUUUUUAUGUAAACAAGUCUGGCAUUGUUUGAGAUAAAAUCAAGAGAUUGCAGGAAGACCUGGCAAAAAGAAGAAGAGAGCUAUUUGAAAACCCCUUUGACAAUAUCUGGAAUGGAAUUCUGCCUUAUCUUCUACCCUUGCUUGGACCAUUACUAGGGUUGCUACUCUUGAUUUCAGUAGGUCCUUGUAUAAUCAAUAAACUAACUGCAUAUAUUAGACAACAAAUGCAGAACAUAAAGUUGAUGAUGAUCUGUCAGCAAGCCUAUGAACUUAUUCCCCAGGAUCCAUAGCAUUAAGCCAAAGAUUUGGCCUCAGUCACAACAUCAGAGGGGAAUGUUAUGGCUUAACUCUAACCAAUAUGCCUCCGUCUUGUUCUGUAUGCGCCAUCUCAAUAGGGUUAAGUUUCUAAUCCUUGUAAAAGCUUAAGUUUCAGCUUCUUGUAACUCCCUACCCCCUUUCUGCAUGUUAUUGCUAGCGAGCUGUUCUGAGAUAAUUAACUCCCCUAUCCUCUUUCCGCAUGUUAUUGCAGGUGUGCUAUUCCAAGAUAAUGUUUAACUGCAGGGUGGGAGUAGCGGAAUGCACCAAGAGCUCCAGAUGUUAUCAGAAUGAAGUCAACUAAGUCGACAGCUUUACAGCUUUGUGGUUUUUUUAGCUUUAAAUUUCCCUCCCUUAGUCUGUUAGGUGUGCAGUCUCUGGUUCGAUCCUAAGGAGACUGCGUCACCAGGCCUGGAAUAAAGUCUUUGCUCCAAA